GUGCAGCAGUCGAGAAUUUUUCUCAAUGGGGGAAACCCUGAAGGAGCGACGCCGCGUGGAGGAUGAAGGCUUUCGGGUUGUAAACUCCUGUCAUUUGAGAACAAGUGCUAGUAACUAACUACUGCUAGCUUGAUAGUAUCAGAAGAGGAAGGGACGGCUAACUCUGUGCCAGCAGCCGCGGUAAUACAGAGGUCCCAAGCGUUGUUCGGAUUCAUUGGGCGUAAAGGGUGCGUAGGUGGCGCCGUAAGUGGGGUGUGAAAUUUCGGAGCUCAACUCCGAAACUGCAUUCCAUACUGCGGUGCUUGAGGACUGGAGAGGAGACUGGAAUUUACGGUGUAGCAGUGAAAUGCGUAGAGAUCGUAAGGAAGACCAGUGGCGAAGGCGGGUCUCUGGACAGUUCCUGACACUGAGGCACGAAGGCUAGGGGAGCAAACGGGAUUAGAUACCCCUGUAGU
rnacentral:rRNA from 1 species